AAUGAACGUUGGCGGCGUGGAUUAGGCAUGCAAGUCGUACGGUAAGCUUCGGCUUAUAGUGGCGAAAGGGAGAGUAACGCGUGGUUACAUGCCCUCGGGACCGGGAUAGCGGCGGGAAACUGCCGGUAAUACCGGAUAAUAUCUUUGGAUCAAAGGUGUGAUUCCGCCCGAGGAUUGGACCGCGUUCUAUUAGCUUGUUGGCGGGGUAAUGGCCCACCAAGGCGAUGAUGGAUACCGGGUGUGAGAGCAUGGCCCGGCUCACUGGGACUGAGACACUGCCCAGACACCUACGGGUGGCUGCAGUCGAGAAUCUUCGGCAAUGGGGGCAACCCUGACCGAGCGACGCCGCGCGCGGGACGAAGGCCUUCGGGUUGUAAACCGCUGUCAGUUGGGAGGAAGUGCCGGGGGGUUCUCCCCUCGGUUUGACCGAUCUUCAGAGGAAGGACGGGCUAAGUUCGUGCCAGCCGCCGCAGUAA
rnacentral:rRNA from 1 species